GUAGGUGGCAAGCGUUGUCCGGAAUUAUUGGGCGUAAAGCGCGCGCAGGCGGUUCUUUAAGUCUGAUGUGAAAGCCCACGGCUCAACCGUGGAGGGUCAUUGGAAACUGGAGAACUUGAGUACAGAAGAGGAAAGCGGAAUUCCACGUGUAGCGGUGAAAUGCGUAGAGAUGUGGAGGAACACCAGUGGCGAAGGCGGCUUUCUGGUCUGUAACUGACGCUGAGGCGCGAAAGCGUGGGGAGCAAACAGGAUUAGAUACCCUGGCAGUCCACGCCGUAAACGAUGAGUGCUAAGUGUUAGGGGGUUUCCGCCCCUUAGUGCCGCAGCUAACGCAUUAAGCACUCCGCCUGGGAGUACGGCCGCAAGGCUG
rnacentral:rRNA from 1 species